rnacentral:rRNA from 1 species
GAGUUUGAUCCUGGCUCAGAAUCAACGCUGGCGGCGUGCCUAACACAUGCAAGUCGAACGCGAAAGGGGCUUCGGCCCUGAGUAGAGUGGCGAACGGGUGAGCAACACGUGGGUGAUCUACCUUCGAGUGGGGGAUAACGUCCCGAAAGGGACGCUAAUACCGCAUGAUGUUCCGGGUUUGAAGACCUGGAAACCAAAGCCGGGGACCGCAAGGCCUGGCGCUCAAAGAGGAGCCCGCGUCCGAUUAGCUAGUUGGCGGGGUAAUGGCCCACCAAGCCGACGAUCGGUAGCUGGUCUGAGAGGAUGAUCAGCCACACUGGGACUGAAAUACGGCCCAGACUCCUACGGGAGGCAGCAGUGGGGAAUAUUGGACAAUGGGGGCAACCCUGAUCCAGCAAUGCCGCGUGAGUGAUGAAGGCCUUAGGGUUGUAAAGCUCUUUUGGCGGGGACGAUGAUGACGGUACCCGCAGAAUAAGCCCCGGCUAACUUCGUGACAGCAGCCGCAGUAAC